CUCCCCUGGUGCUGCAGCUCCGUGGAAGGAUCCCGAGUGCCCCGCCCCCUGGGUCUGGCACCCUCACCAUCUGCUGCUACAAGGGGCCACUCUGGGGGCUGAGGUGGGGGGCCAUGGGGAGGGGGAGCAGCGGCCGGAAGGUGACCUGGAAGCCCUUGGUCCCUUCCCGUGGGUUUUAGCAGGGAGCCUGGCGCUGCUACUCGUCCCCUGGGAUGCUCAGGACUUCCCAAAGCUGUCACGGGGAGGGCUCGGUGACGGCAGCGGAGGACAAGUUCCCCUGCCACGAGCUUACCUGAGGGCGGCCGGGGAAGCCAGCAUCGCAGAGCUUGGUUUGCCGAAAGCCAGUCCAGCAGCCUGCACAGCGAAGGGGCAGACAUAUCCUACCGUCCCAGGAGAGAAGAGGAAGGAAGCAUCUCCAUUCUACACCGCGCGGCUGUAAAAUCUUCGUGGCUCUCAUUUCCUUGGGCUCCACUUGCAAGACCUUCACUCUUGCCUCCUCUUUUCUAGAGCACCUGUGUGCAGACAGGUGCAACAGGAUGCUGCAUCUGAGCACAGCCAAUGAAAAGACACUAUUUCUGAUCUUCAUUUACAUAUGGCAGGAAGCCCAGCAAGGUUUUUGAUGGGACAGUUUCUACGUGGUGUGACCCCAAAGGCCAAGGAAGACUCCCAAAGGGUCUGGUUCCUGUGGGGGGAGCAGGUGUGGGCUCUGGGAGAGGGGAACCCACAUAGAACGACUUUUCAGCUGCACAGGGCGCUGGGCAUUCUGCAUCCCGGUCCGGUCCAGUCCAGUACAGCAAGCGAGCAGGAAACGCAGUGCCAACAGCACUGGCUGAAGACUGAUAGGAGCACAUGGAACCCUUCUGCCUCAGAACCCACCACGUACACGACUGCUCAGUGAACUAUUUACGAGAGUUUCCCACUAGGGACAAAAUCCAACUUUACACAAAGAGACUUUAUACGGAGGAGCAGCGAUCCCCUGAUUUCCACGUGGUUUCUUUCUGGCUUCAGGCAUGUGACCUGCCUGUGUCACUGUGUGUCUAGCUCUUUCUUUAGACUUGUAGUACGCCAUCUAUCCUAGAGGAUUUGAGACACAAAGCUUCCGUGCCUAUGCAGAAAGUCACUGAAAGCUUAAACUCCUUGUGAAAAAAAAAUCCAAAUCUAGUGAUACUGAAGGAAGAGGGGAAGGGAAAACUUGAAGAGGAAAAAUGAAAUAAAACACCCUAAAGCUUAAUCAAAUUUCAGUGACUGUGUCUCUUUGGCAUAGUGCUGGAUCUUCCAGUGACGGCCCA
rnacentral:lncRNA from 1 species